ACAUUGGGAAGCCAGAAUUACUUGCAGGAGUAACCUAGUGCCUAUAGCUAUGGCAGUGACCCUGAGGUGAUGGAGUUUUCAAGUCCUUCCAGAGAGGAAUGUCCCAAGCCUUCGGGUAGGGUGCCUUCAGCCGCUACAAGAGCAGAAGCAGUGGGCAUUGGAUGGAGCUGAGUACAGGACCAUACAGGCUAAUUGCACCGGCACAGGAAUCGGAUAUAACAUCAUCUGGGUACCCAUGGCCAGCUGUGACUUCUCCAUCCGCACCUACACCUAUGCAGACACCCCUGAUGAUUUCCAGUUGCACAACUUCAGCCUCCCAGAGGAAGAUACCAAGCUCAAGAUACCCCUGAUUCACCGAGCCCUGCAGUUGGCCCAGCGUCCCGUUUCACUCCUUGCCAGCCCCUGGACAUCACCCACUCGGCUCAAGACCAGGGGAGCGGGGAAUGGGAAGGGGCCACUCAAGGGACAGCCCAGAGACAUCUACCACCAGACCUGGGCCAGAUACAUUGUGAAGUUCCUGGAUGCCUAUGCUGAGCACAAGUUACAGUUCUGGGCAGUGACAGCUGAAAAUGAGCCUUCUGCUGGGCUGUUGAGUGGAUACCCCUUCCAGUGCCUGGGCUUCACCCCUGAACAUCAGCGAGACUUCAUUGCCCGUGACCUAGGUCCUACCCUUGCCAACGGUACUCACCACAAUGUCCGCCUACUCAUGCUGGAUGACCAACGCUUGCUGCUGCCCCACUGGGCAAAGGUGGUACUGACAGACCCAGAAGCAGCUAAGUAUGUUCAUGGUAUUGCUGUACAUUGGUACCUGGACUUUCUGGCUCCAGCCAAAGCCACCCUAAGGGAGACACACCACCUGUUCCCCAACACCAUGCUCUUUGCCUCAGAGGCCUGUGUGGGUUCCAAGUUCUGGGAGCAGAGUGUGCGGCUAGGCUCCUGGGAUCGAGGGAUGCAGUACAGCCACAGCAUCAUCACAAACCUCCUGUACCAUGUGGUCGGCUGGACCGACUGGAACCCAUCAUUGUAGACAUCACCAAGCACACGUUUUACAAACAGCCCAUGUUCUACCACCUUGGCCACUUCAGCAAGUUCAUUCCUGAGGGCUCCCAGAGAGUGGGGCUGGUUGCCAGUCAGAAGAACGACCCGGACGCAGUGGCACUGAUGCAUCCCGAUGGCUCUGCUGUUGUGGUCGUGCUAAACCGCUCCUCUAAGGAUGUGCCUCUUACCAUCAAGGAUCCUGCUGUGGGCUUCCUGGAGACAAUCUCACCUGGCUACUCCAUUCACACCUACCUGUGGCGUCGCCAGUGAUGGAGCAGAUACUCAAGGAGGCACUGGGCUCAGCCUGGGCAUUAAAGGGACAGAGUCAGCUCACACGCUGUCUGUGACUAAAGAGG
ensembl:lncRNA GBA1LP glucosylceramidase beta 1 like, pseudogene